CAGCCACAUCACAUUGAAACACUGGUUCCCAUAGGAUGUCUGAAGUUAAGCAACAUCAAGCCUAGUUAGUACCUAGAUGGGUGACUGCUUGAGAAUACAAGGUGCUGUAA